GACGGGUGAGUAACGCGUGGGAAUCUACCCAACCCUACGGAAUAGCUCCGGGAAACUGGAAUUAAUACCGUAUACGCCCGGGCACAGGGAUGUGUCUGGGGAAAGAUUUAUCGGGGAUGGAUGAGCCCGCGUUGGAUUAGCUAGUUGGUGGGGUAAAGGCCUACCAAGGCGACGAUCCAUAGCUGGUCUGAGAGGAUGACCAGCCACAUUGGGACUGAGACACGGCCCAAACUCCUACGGGAGGCAGCAGUGGGGAAUAUUGGACAAUGGGCGCAAGCCUGAUCCAGCCAUGCCGCGUGAGUGAUGAAGGUCUUAGGAUUGUAAAGCUCUUUCAGUGGGGACGAUAAUGACGGUACCCACAGAAGAAGCCCCGGCUAACUUCGUGCCAGCAGCCGCGGUAAUACGAAGGGGGCUAGCGUUGUUCGGAAUUACUGGGCGUAAAGCGCACGUAGGCGGAUAUUUAAGUCGGGGGUGAAAUCCCGGGGCUCAACCCCGGAACUGCCUUCGAUACUGGGUAUCUUGAGUUCGGAAGAGGUGAGUGGAAUUGCGAGUGUAGAGGUGAAAUUCGUAGAUAUUCGCAGGAACACCAGUGGCGAAGG
rnacentral:rRNA from 1 species